rnacentral:rRNA from 1 species
AUUGAACGCUGGCGGCAUGCCUUACACAUGCAAGUCGAACGGCAGCACGGGUGCUUGCACCUGGUGGCGAGUGGCGAACGGGUGAGUAAUACAUCGGAACAUGUCCUGUAGUGGGGGAUAGCCCGGCGAAAGCCGGAUUAAUACCGCAUACGAUCUACGGAUGAAAGCGGGGGACCUUCGGGCCUCGCGCUAUAGGGUUGGCUGAUGGCUGAUUAGCUAGUUGGUGGGGUAAAGGCCUACCAAGGCGACGAUCAGUAGCUGGUCUGAGAGGACGACCAGCCACACUGGGACUAAGACACGGCCCAGACUCCUACGGGAGGCAGCAGUGGGGAAUUUUGGACGAUGGGCGAAAGCCUGAUCCAGCAAUGCCGCGUGUGUGAAGAAGGCCUUCGGGUUGUAAAGCACUUUUGUCCGGAAAGAAAUCCUUGGCCCUAAUACGGUCGGGGGAUGACGGUACCGGAAGAAUAAGCACCGGCUAACUACGUG